AGAGUUUGAUCCUGGCUCAGGAUGAACGCUAGCGGCAGGCUUAACACAUGCAAGUCGAGGGGCAUCGGGAGGGAAGCUUGCUUUCCUUGCCGGCGACCGGCGCACGGGUGAGUAACACGUAUGCAACCUGCCCUCUUCAGGGGGACAACCUUCCGAAAGGGAGGCUAAUCCCGCGUAUAUCGGUUUCGGGCAUCCGAGAUCGAGGAAAGAUUCAUCGGAAGAGGAUGGGCAUGCGGCGCAUUAGCUUGACGGCGGGGUAACGGCCCACCGUGGCGACGAUGCGUAGGGGUUCUGAGAGGAAGGUCCCCCACACUGGUACUGAGACACGGACCAGACUCCUACGGGAGGCAGCAGUGAGGAAUAUUGGUCAAUGGGAGAGAUCCUGAACCAGCCAAGCCGCGUGAGGGAAGACGGCCCUAUGGGUUGUAAACCUCUUUUGUCGGAGAACAAAACCCGGGACGUGUCCCGGACUGCGCGUAUCCGAAGAAAAAGCAUCGGCUAACUCCGUG
rnacentral:rRNA from 1 species